rnacentral:rRNA from 1 species
GGGUUGUGAGGUUAAGCGACUAAGCGUACACGGUGGAUGCCCUGGCAGUCAGAGGCGAUGAAGGACGUGCUAAUCUGCGAAAAGCGUCGGUAAGGUGAUAUGAACCGUUAUAACCGGCGAUGUCCGAAUGGGGAAACCCAGUGCAAUUCGUUGCACUAUCGUUAACUGAAUACAUAGGUUAACGAGGCGAACCGGGGGAACUGAAACAUCUAAGUACCCCGAGGAAAAGAAAUCAACCGAGAUUCCCCCAGUAGCGGCGAGCGAACGGGGAGCAGCCCAGAGUCUGAAUCAGCUUGUGUGUUAGUGGAACGGUCUGGAAAGUCCGACGGUACAGGGUGAUAGUCCCGUACACCAAAAAUGCACAGGCUGUGAACUCGAAGAGUAGGGCGGGACACGUGGUAUCCUGUCUGAAUAUGGGGGACCAUCCUCCAAGGCUAAAUACUCCUGACUGACCGAUAGUGAACCAGUACCGUGAGGGAAAGGCGAAAAAGAACCCCGGCGAGGGGAGUGAAAAAGAACCUGAAACCGUGUACGUACAAGCAGUGGGAGCACCUUCGGGUGUGACUGCGUACCUUUGUAUAAUGGGUCAGCGACUUAUAUUCUGUAGCAAGGUUAACCGUAUAGGGGAGCCGCAGGGAAACCGAGUCUUAACUGGGCGUUAAGUUGCAGGGUAUAGACCCGAAACCCGGUGAUCUCAGCCAUGGGCAGGUUGAAGGUUGGGUAACACUAACUGGAGGACCGAACCGACUAAUGUUGAAAAAAAUUAGCGGAUGACUUGUGGCUGGGGGUGAAAGGCCAAUCAAAACCGGGAGAUAGCUGGUUCUCCCCGAAAGCUAUUUAGGUAGCGCCUCGUGAACUCAUCUUCGGGGGUAGAGCACUGUUUCGGCUAGGGGGUCAUCCCGACUUACCAACCCGAUGCAAACUACGAAUACCGAAGAAUGUUAUCACGGGAGACACACGGCGGGUGCUAACGUCCGUCGUGAAGAGGGAAACAACCCAGACCGCCAGCUAAGGUCCCAAAGUCAUGGUUAAGUGGGAAACGAUGUGGGAAGGCACAGACAGCCAGGAUGUUGGCUUAGAAGCAGCCAUCAUUUAAAGAAAGCGUAAUAGCUCACUGGUCGAGUCGGCCUGCGCGGAAGAUGUAACGGGGCUAAACCAUGCACCGAAGCUGCGGCAGCGACACUAUGUGUUGUUGGGUAGGGGAGCGUUCUGUAAGCCUGCGAAGGUGUGCUGUGAGGCAUGCUGGAGGUAUCAGAAGUGCGAAUGCUGACAUAAGUAACGAUAAAGCGGGUGAAAAGCCCGCUCGCCGGAAGACCAAGGGUUCCUGUCCAACGUUAAUCGGGGCAGGGUGAGUCGACCCCUAAGGCGAGGCCGAAAGGCGUAGUCGAUGGGAAACAGGUUAAUAUUCCUGUACUUGGUGUUACUGCGAAGGGGGGACGGAGAAGGCUAUGUUAGCCGGGCGACGGUUGUCCCGGUUUAAGCAUGUAGGCUGAUUGUCCAGGCAAAUCCGGAUAAUCAAGGCUGAGGUGUGAUGACGAGGCACUACGGUGCUGAAGUAACAAAUGCCCUGCUUCCAGGAAAAGCCUCUAAGCAUCAGGUAACAUUAAAUCGUACCCCAAACCGACACAGGUGGUCAGGUAGAGAAUACCAAGGCGCUUGAGAGAACUCGGGUGAAGGAACUAGGCAAAAUGGUGCCGUAACUUCGGGAGAAGGCACGCUGGUGUGUAGGUGAAGUCCCUGCGGAUGGAGCUGAGACCAGUCGAAGAUACCAGCUGGCUGCAACUGUUUAUUAAAAACACAGCACUGUGCAAACACGAAAGUGGACGUAUACGGUGUGACGCCUGCCCGGUGCCGGAAGGUUAAUUGAUGGGGUUAUCCGUAAGGAGAAGCUCUUGAUCGAAGCCCCGGUAAACGGCGGCCGUAACUAUAACGGUCCUAAGGUAGCGAAAUUCCUUGUCGGGUAAGUUCCGACCUGCACGAAUGGCGUAAUGAUGGCCAGGCUGUCUCCACCCGAGACUCAGUGAAAUUGAACUCGCUGUGAAGAUGCAGUGUACCCGCGGCAAGACGGAAAGACCCCGUGAACCUUUACUAUAGCUUGACACUGAACAUUGAGCCUUGAUGUGUAGGAUAGGUGGGAGGCUUUGAAGCGUGGACGCCAGUCUGCGUGGAGCCAACCUUGAAAUACCACCCUUUAAUGUUUGAUGUUCUAACGUUGGCCCCUGACCGGGGUUGCGGACAGUGUCUGGUGGGUAGUUUGACUGGGGCGGUCUCCUCCCAAAGCGUAACGGAGGAGCACGAAGGUUAGCUAAUCCUGGUCGGACAUCAGGAGGUUAGUGCAAUGGCAUAAGCUAGCUUGACUGCGAGCGUGACGGCGCGAGCAGGUGCGAAAGCAGGUCAUAGUGAUCCGGUGGUUCUGAAUGGAAGGGCCAUCGCUCAACGGAUAAAAGGUACUCCGGGGAUAACAGGCUGAUACCGCCCAAGAGUUCAUAUCGACGGCGGUGUUUGGCACCUCGAUGUCGGCUCAUCACAUCCUGGGGCUGAAGUAGGUCCCAAGGGUAUGGCUGUUCGCCAUUUAAAGUGGUACGCGAGCUGGGUUUAGAACGUCGUGAGACAGUUCGGUCCCUAUCUGCCGUGGGCGCUGGAGAAUUGAGGGGGGCUGCUCCUAGUACGAGAGGACCGGAGUGGACGCAUCACUGGUGUUCGGGUUGUCAUGCCAAUGGCACUGCCCGGUAGCUAAAUGCGGAAGAGAUAAGUGCUGAAAGCAUCUAAGCACGAAACUUGCCCCGAGAUGAGUUCUCCCUGAGACUUUAAGUCUCCUGAAGGAACGUUAAAGACGAUGACGUUGAUAGGCCGGGUGUGUAAGCGCAGCGAUGCGUUGAGCUAACCGGUACUAAUGAACCGUGAGGCUUAACCUUACAACGCCGAAG